GACGAACGCUGGCGGCGUGCUUAACACAUGCAAGUCGAACGGAAAGGCCCUGCGUUUGUGGGGUGCUCGAGUGGCGAACGGGUGAGUAACACGCGAGUAACCUGCCCUUGACUUUGGGAUAACUUCAGGAAACUGGGGCUAAUACCGGAUAGGAGCUCCUGCUGCAUGGUGGGGGUUGGAAAGAUUCGGCGGUUGGGGAUGGACUCGCGGCUUAUCCGCUUGUUGGUGGGGUAGUGGCUUACCAAGGCUUUGACGGGUAGCCGGCCUGAGAGGGUGACCGGCCACAUUGGGACUGAGAUACGGCCCAGACGCCUACGGGAGGCAGCAGUGGGGAAUAUUGCACAAUGGGCGGAAGCCUGAGGCAGCAACGCCGCGUGCGGGAUGACGGCCUUCGGGUUGUAAACCGCUUUCGCCUGUGACGAAGCGUGAGUGACGGUAAUGGGUAAAGAAGCACCGGCUAACUACGUG
rnacentral:rRNA from 1 species